AACGAACGCUGGCGGCAGGCUUAACACAUGCAAGUCGAGCGAGACCUUCGGGUCUAGCGGCGGACGGGUGAGUAACGCGUGGGAACGUGCCCUUCUCUACGGAAUAGCCCCGGGAAACUGGGAGUAAUACCGUAUACGCCCUUUGGGGGAAAGAUUUAUCGGAGAAGGAUCGGCCCGCGUUGGAUUAGGUAGUUGGUGGGGUAAUGGCCCACCAAGCCGACGAUCCAUAGCUGGUUUGAAAGGAUGAUCAGCCACACUGGGACUGAGACACGGCCCAGACUCCUACGGGAGGCAGCAGUGGGGAAUCUUAGACAAUGGGGGCAACCCUGAUCUAGCCAUGCCGCGUGAGUGAUGAAGGCCUUAGGGUUGUAAAGCUCUUUCAGCUGGGAAGAUAAUGACGGUACCAGCAGAAGAAGCCCCGGCUAACUCCGUG
rnacentral:rRNA from 1 species